GCCCCUAUCGUCUAGUGGUUCAAGACAUCUCUCUUUCAAGGAGGCAGCGGGAUUUGACUUCCCCUGGGGGUA
rfam:Setaria italica strain Yugu1 chromosome VII, whole genome shotgun sequence.